CAUGUUCUUGUCCUGUGAUGAUCUCAGUGUUAUCCAGGUCUAUGUUUAGCCUUGAAAUCACAAGUGCCCCUUGCUCUUCAGUCAGAACUCAGGAGAAGAAUGAGAUAAUCUGCUUGAUCAUUUUUCUCUGGAAAAAAAAAUGUUACAAUAAGUAUGUUGGUAGUUUAGAAAGAUGGAAGUUCAAAAAGUGUGGUGUGCUCUUAGAGUGGACUAUGAUCAUGUUUGCCAUCUGUUUGUUCUCAGGUAGGAAGGGAUCCCCGAAGAGGAGCAUUCCUUGAGACCAUCAACAGCAUUAAUUCAGUGCACUGGAGUCCUUGGAACUGGUAUCCUGGAACACCAUUGCCUAUCAAUUUUCUGAGGAUUCUCUUGACACCAGGAGAGCUGUUAUAUUUAGAUGCUUAUCUGCUUUUGACUGCAGUGCAGUGCUUGCGAAGAUGUCUUUCAUUUUGAGGCUUAACACAUUAAAUAUCACCUGAUCUGAAGAUGUUUGAGGGUGUAGAGCCUGUGGCAUAGAAUAAAUGUCUUGUCUAAAAAUAGCGUUACA
rnacentral:lncRNA from 1 species